CGUAUCCAACCUUCCGGUAACUCCGGUAUAGCCUUUCGAAAGAAAGAUUAAUCCCGGAUAGUAUGGUGAUUCCGCAUGGUUUUUCCAUUAAAGGAUUCCGGUUACCGAUGGGGAUGCGUUCCAUUAGGCAGUUGGCGGGGUAACGGCCCACCAAACCUACGAUGGAUAGGGGUUCUGAGAGGAAGGUCCCCCACAUUGGAACUGAGACACGGUCCAAACUCCUACGGGAGGCAGCAGUGAGGAAUAUUGGUCAAUGGGCGGAAGCCUGAACCAGCCAAGUAGCGUGAAGGAUGACUGCCCUAUGGGUUGUAAACUUCUUUUAUAAGGGAAUAAUUGCGGGUACGCGUACCCGUUUGCAUGUACCUUAUGAAUAAGGAUCGGCUAACUCCGUGCCAGCAGCCGCGGUAAUACGGAGGAUCCGAGCGUUAUCCGGAUUUAUUGGGUUUAAAGGGAGCGUAGGCGGGCGCUUAAGUCAGCUGUGAAAGUUUGGGGCUCAACCUUAAAAUUGCAGUUGAUACUGGGUGCCUUGAGUGCAGUAUAGGCAGGCGGAAUUCGUGGUGUAGCGGUGAAAUGCUUAGAUAUCACGAAGAACUCCUAUUGCGAAGGCAGCUUGCUGGAGUGUAACUGACGCUGAUGCUCGAAAGUGUGGGUAUCAAACAGGAUUAGAUACCCUGGUAGUCCACACAGUAAACGAUGAAUACUCGCUGUUUGCGAUAUACUGCAAGCG
rnacentral:rRNA from 1 species